rnacentral:misc_RNA from 1 species
GAGAAUAUUCCAUUGAAAUAAGUUUAUAUGCGAAGUAAAAUCAGACAUUUGUACAUGAUAAGGUUUGGCAAAAUUUAUACAUAAAAAUAAGAAUUUAAAAACCUAGAGGUAGUAUACAUGUAUAGAAAGGAAACGUAAAACAUUUUGGGGCAGAUUCUAGAACAUGAAGUGGGCAGCUAAAGUUCCUUAGCUGGUGAACUCUCAGCCUUGUCAGUAAUAAUCUCGGGAGAGUAAUCAGCAGAGAUAUUAUGCACUUCUCACAGGGUUUGAUGCCUCUUCUCUGGAGAAGCUCCCAGUAGAGUGUAUGGAAAAUGAGCAGCUAGCAACGGCCUAGGCAAGGGCAAAACCAUCAGUUGAAUAAGGAGCAUGGAUUGGAGCAGAAUUUAGUUGACUUCGCCCUGGAUAAUCUUUUCAACUUCAGACAUGGUAGUCCUCAGUGUAGGAGAUGGGCUAGGAAAUUAUUAGCAGUUUUAAGUGAAAGCAGCUCAAUUGUGCUCACCAAAUCAAGUGGGUAAACAAAGGUUCACUACGUGGUUCUUGCUAUUCUAGUGAUGACUUGUGUUUUCUCUCCUUCAUUAAGCUUAGCAAACCCAAAAUCAGAUCUCUUUGCAUUGAAAUCCUUGUCAAGAAGAAUGUUAGUUGUCUUGAUAUCCCUAUGAACAACUUUUAGCAUGCAAUCGUCAUGAAGAUAAACCAAUCCCUUCGCCAUUCUAUGGGAAAUUUUAACUCUAGUUGUCCAAUUAAGUUUACAUCUCAGCUCCUCCGAACCUGUUCAUUGUACAACAUAUGAGUUACCAUUUUGUUAUUAGUUUCAAAGAAUUUUCAUGCAGAAGCCAAGUGAAGGUAGCUUUUAUAUGCCGGAAACUGAAAAACCCUCCAGGCAAUGACUCAAUAUCUUUCCGUUCUGCAUCAAAACAUAAAUGAAACAAGUAAGGAAUGUGUCAAAACAAUGAAGUAUGUCAGCGGAUCAUGAGCUGAGAUAUUUUGCAGGAUCAAUUUCAUCUCUGUUAGGUACAAGAAUUACUGAUCCAACAAGAGCAACUUUAGCCAAAGUCGACAAUAUCUUGAAAGGUUUUCUAGGUUUAGGAACAGAACCAAAAGAAACAAAACAAUGCAUGGCGUCAAUAUAUGUGGACAUGAGGAUAGGAACACUUGCUGUAACACAAUAAAGGAGGGAGAGAAACUACCAGGAUGUACUGAUAUAAGAGGUCCAGUUCAUCUUUGUGUCCUUAUUCCUAUAGUAACAAUCAGGCUAUAAGCAUAUAUAAGUACAGCCACUGAACAACUUUUUCUUUCCUUUUUUGUUUUUGGGUGGACGCAGAGGCAAUUACCUGAAUGAUCACAUCAAAAAGUCGCUUCCCUCUGAUUCUGUGACCUGCUUCUUCCUUCAUCGCUAUUUCAGCAAAAUGAAGGGUUAAGGAUAUUGAAGCAACGUGUGCUGUCCUAUACAAAACAGGAGCUCCAAAUGGUAUAUUGACUGUAUUAGUUCGUGAACAUUUGCAUCCAGUCAUUACGCUGUCAUACUACUGUAUCCCCAAUUGCUUUCAUCAUUUAUAUAGAAAGUUGAAGUUCCUUCUUCAUGUGUAUCAGGCUCAUAAGUAUCUCCUUGUAUUUCUAUCCUUUUACCACCAUAAUUUAUGAACAGAUCUGCAAUUAAAUUUGUUAUCAACAGUGUCUCGUGACUUACCCUUUUAUUGACCAUCGUCACAACUGAUAUCAUAAGCAAAAGCCCUUUUGAAAGAGAAAUUAGGUUAAAAGGCAUCCACAUAGAUAUAAUACUUGAAUCGUAAAAAAGUAAUAUAAGAUAAAGGUCAAUAAAAAAGAACACAUACAGAGAAAUUGAGCUACGACUUCUUUAGGUUUGCCUUACAAUCUGGAUGUGGGGUUCAGUUGUGAGGGUAAUUCUGUGAAAUUAUUCUUGGAGAAAUCUCGGUUGCAACCACACUGGUUUAGGAUUAAGACUAUUUUGAGUCCAAAGCAACAUAGUAAUGGAUGAGCAUUUGGAAAGAACAAUGUAAGCAAGUUUUGGGACAGCAAAGAGGCAAAAGCUGCUAAUACUCAUGAUGCCACAUAAAAUGUAAAAAUUUGUGAAGUUCUGGUAUGAGAACUGCUCCCAAGAAACUUACUUGACUCUAACCCACUAACCCGAAUGACAAAGAAAUAAAGAAACAGAGGAAGGAAAAGAGACUAGCAUAUUAGCUUCUGUUAAGUCUGCAACCCAUACAAGAAGCAAUCCAUUAAGCUUAUUUCCUGUCAGAUAUCUGAAUGGGUAAAUUUAAAAAAAAAUCAGCAGCAUGUAUAAAUUGAUCAUUUGAAAAAAAAAAGUAUUUAAUGUUUUUCAGGUGCAUAUAAACCAAAAAUUAAAAUUAAACAAUUUUAUUGAUACAAAAUUAAAAUUUAAUGAUAUGAAACUAACCCUAAAAUAUAAACUAUCUAAAUCCUGUUAUUCUGUUUUUAUUUUUCUAGGGGAAUAAAAAUUACACUUGAAUUAUGGCAGCCCAGUUAAUUAAAAUAAUGAAACUUUGUUAUAUUUCAAUAAUGAUUUUAAAUAGGAAAAAUUUUUAUAUAAAUUCAGUUUACCAAUAUACAAACAGAAGGAUGUACAAAAGGGGAGUAAUCGAGAUACCGCUAAAAUGUUGUCCAAGAGCAGAAAUUCUUACCUAGAUGAGAUAUUAUAUCAAGUUUAAAUCUGGAUCUAUCGAACUGGCAAAUUCCUCAUUAAUGAAAGAGCUCCUUAAGCAACCUUAGUGGACAAAAUGUUCAUAAAUAAAUAAAAAUAAUAAUUUUCAAACCUAAUAUAAUAAUUAAUUAAAAUAAGAAACCGAAAAACGAAAUUUUUUCAAAAUUAUAAAAUUUGGAGUUUAAAUUUUAAUUAAAGCCUGAUAAAUUAGAAAAUAAAGAAAAUAAAAUAAAACAGGACAUGAUUAGUGAGAGAGAAGGAUCAUAUUGAUACAACAUAAGAAUAAAUUGGUAGAUAUUACAUUCGUUUCUUUAUUAUUACCUGAUAUUUCUUUUUUGGCUGCUAUCUUAAGUAAAGUCCAAAAACAUGUGAACCAUCUUGUAAGCUCUCGUGAAGCAGCAAGUUAAUUCAUAAAAUCAGAGCACCUUGAGACUUGUGAGAGAGCAUCUACAUCUAAGAAUAACAUAUGAUAUAAACCUAUAUACCAAGAUGAAGCACACCAUUGCCACCACAUUUCUCCCCCUACUUUCCUCUCCAUAUCCUUCUUCUUUUAGCACAUCUUCUCCUCUAACCAUGCAUGUCCCAAACAUGUACUCCAAGCAUUUCCCUGAUUUUGAGAACUCGUUUAUUAAGAACCCUUCAAAUGGGUACUUGAAAAGUGAUAUAUAAUGCAUGAACAUCCAGUAAUUUGGAAUCCCAUGGUUGGAUAUGAAGUACCCAGAGAACAAAAAGAAAGAUCCCAUCACCCCUGAUAUCAUUGAAUUUCCAACGAUGAAAUUAGGUACUAGAGCACUGAUGCAUACCACAACUGAAUUGGCAGUGUAAAGAAUCAACCAGAUUAAGAGCAUGAAGUGGACGAAUGCUGUGAAAUUUGGAUUAAGGCCCACUAACCAGUAUAAUGGGAUAGAGAAUAAUAUGGCCAGAAUCAGUAGAAAUGGCAAGUAAACGAGCGCAUUAGCGACUGCAUAGGAUGAGACUCUGUAGCUCCCACAAGAGGUCUCCUUCAUUAGAAUUUCCCUUUCUUGCAAGAAGAUUGGUAGUGCUUCUGUUGUGCAAGAGAGCAAGAAUGUCAAUGUAAAAGCAAAUAGGCCUACCCUUUCUUCUGCUCCUGUCAAAUCAUCUUUAACAUUGGAAAAGAUGGAACCUAAAACAAGCCCAGAAAUCAACAUUUGAAUUGUCCUGCAUGCAAAGAGCUCCUUGGUUCGAAAAAUGUUCUUGGAAAACCUGUGGGUGAGGAUUACAAUCUCCUGAAAACUUGAAUUUGCAAAACCGUAGGGAAAAUCAAUACCAACUUUGAUAAUUUCCUCGUCGACAACUUUGGCUUGCUGAAAGAGCUGUUGAAGAGUGAACUUGCCACUUUUACUCUCACCGUCCUCUGCUUUCGUGGUCUGGAGUUGGGUCGAUACUGGAGUGCUUUCUGGCAGCUGCAGUUGUUGAAUGGCUUCAAUGGAUUCGAUAGCGAAUUCAACAACAUUGACAUGAAGAGGAAGCUGCAUCUCCAUUGUCCUCAAAUGAACUCCAAGCUGAUCCACCGUCCCAUGAUGUAAAACAGACCCAUUAGCUAUCAGAAGUAUUGAAUUAAACAACUUCACAAUGCGAAACCCAGGCUGGUGAAUGCUUAAUAUUAUGGUUCUACCCCUUGUUUCCGCCAUAACCUUAAGCAUGUCAAUAAUCUGUAAAGCAGAUGUACUAUCAAGACCAGAGGUUGGCUCAUCAAGAAUUAAAACUUUAGGGUCAUGUAUGACAUCAACUCCUAUCGAAACUCGACGCCUUUCUCCACCGGAAAUCCCUCGAACCCUUUCAUCACCCACACGAGUCAUGGCUACAUGAUCCAGGCCUAGUUCUUGAACCAAGGACUUGACCCUAGAUCGCAGUUGAGCUUGAGGAAGCCGCAGACGGAGCUUGGCACUAAACAUGAGGGUUUCUUCCACUGUGAGGAGAGGAAAGAGGGUAUCUCUCUGUGUUACAUAGCCUGAUAUCUUCUUGAACUGAGCUCUAUCGACAGGAUUUUGAUUGACAAAAAUGGAACCAUUUUGUGGGGUAAGUUUUCCGGCGAGGACUUCAAGCAAGGAUGAUUUUCCAGCUCCACUUGGACCAACAACGGCGAGGAUUUCCCAUGGCUUGGCUUUGCAAUAUACGCCUUUGAGAACAUGCUUUUCUUGAAGAUUCGGUUCGAGUUCUUGAUCAAUUUGUUGAUCUUUGUUGAAGAUUUUAAAAGGGUAGUUUCUUUUCUUGGUGGAAAUCUUGUAGGUGAUCCUUCUAGCUUCAAUCUCACAACCUUGUUUCUUCAUUGAAGAAGCCUUAUUUGUUACCAAUGGUUUUUGGCUACCUUGGUUUAUUUGGUGGUUCUAUCUCAAGUCUAACCAGUCCAUUAGCUUACUCUCUUACUAAUAAGGAAACAACAUUUUUUGUGCUUUUGUCCUCCUCUCCUCUGCUAAAUAAACAAGAAAAUAAAUUCAAAAUUGUAAAACAA